GACGAACGCUGGCGGCGUGCUUAACACAUGCAAGUCGAACGGAAAGGCCCUGCUUUUGUGGGGUGCUCGAGUGGCGAACGGGUGAGUAACACGUGAGUAACCUGCCCUUGACUUUGGGAUAACUUCAGGAAACUGGGGCUAAUACCGGAUAGGAGCUCCUGCUGCAUGGUGGGGGUUGGAAAGUUUCGGCGGUUGGGGAUGGACUCGCGGCUUAUCAGCUUGUUGGUGGGGUGGUGGCUUACCAAGGCCUUGACGGGUAGCCGGCCUGAGAGGGUGACCGGCCACAUUGGGACUGAGAUACGGCCCAGACUCCUACGGGAGGCAGCAGUGGGGAAUAUUGCACAAUGGGCGGAAGCCUGAUGCAGCAACGCCGCGUGCGGGAUGACGGCCUUCGGGUUGUAAACCGCUUUCGCCUGUGACGAAGCGUGAGUGACGGUAAUGGGUAAAGAAGCACCGGCUAACUACGUG
rnacentral:rRNA from 1 species